UACGUAGGGGGCGAGCGUUGUCCGGAAUUACUGGGCGUAAAGCGUGCGCAGGCGGCUUCUCAAGUCAGGGGUGAAAGCCCAGAGCUCAACUCUGGAAUUGCCUUUGAGACUGAGUGGCUUGAGUACGAGAGAGGUGAGUGGAAUUCCCAGUGUAGAGGUGAAAUUCGUAGAUAUUGGGAAGAACACCGGUGGCGAAGGCGGCUCACUGGCUCGUAACUGACGCUCAUGCACGACAGCGUGGGGAUCAAACAGG
rnacentral:rRNA from 1 species